rnacentral:rRNA from 1 species
CAGCAGCCGCGGAAUACGUAGGGUGCAAGCGUUAAUCGGAAUUACUGGGCGUAAAGCGUGCGCAGGCGGUUUGUUGAGACAGAUGUGAAAUCCCCGGGCUCAACCUGGGAACUGCAUUUGUGACUGGCAAGCUAGAGUGUGGCAGAGGGGGGUGGAAUUCCGCGUGUAGCAGUGAAAUGCGUAGAUAUGCGGAGGAACACCGAUGGCGAAGGCAGCCCCCUGGGCCAACACUGACGCUCAUGCACGAAAGCGUGGGGAGCAAACAGGAUUAGAUACCCCCGUAGUCCCUGUCUCUUAUACA